GACGAACGCUGGCGGCGGGCUUAACACAUGCAAGUCGAACGGCAAGGCCCUGCUUUUGUGGGGUUCUCGGGUGGCGAACGGGUGAGUAACACGUGAGUAACCUGCCCUUGACUUUGGGAUAACUUCAGGAAACGGGGGCUAAUCCCAGAUAGGAGCCCCUGCUGCAUGGUGGGGGUUGGAAAGUUUCGGCGGUUGGGGAUGGACUCGCGGCUUAUCAGCUUGUUGGUGGGGUAGUGGCUUACCCAGGCUUUGACGGGUAGCCGGCCUGAGAGGGUGACCGGCCACAUUGGGACUGAGAUACGGCCCAGACUGCUACGGGAGGCAGCAGUGGGGAAUAUUGCACAGUGGGAGGAAGCCUGAUGAGGAAACGCCGCGGGCGGGAUGACGGCCUUCGGGUUGAAAACCGCUGUCGCCUGUGACGAAGCGGGAGUGACGGUAAUGGGUAAAGAAGCACCGGCUAACUACGUG
rnacentral:rRNA from 1 species